GCCAUCGCGCAGUAGUUACAGCUUUGUCUUUGAGGCAAAAGGUCAAAAGUUCGAUUCCUUUAGGUGGCA